rnacentral:tRNA from 1 species
UUAGUAGCUCAGUGGUUAAGCAUUUGCUUUUCAUGCAGAAUAUCCCAAAUUCAAUCCCAGGUUUAAAAA